rnacentral:tRNA from 1 species
GGGCGAUUAGCUCAGCUGGUCAGAGCGCUUCGUUUACACCGAAGAUGUCAGAGGUUCGAAUCCUCUAUCGCCCACCA